AGUGAACGCUGGCGGUAGGCCUAACACAUGCAAGUCGAACGGCAGCACAGUAAGAGCUUGCUCUUACGGGUGGCGAGUGGCGGACGGGUGAGGAAUACAUCGGAAUCUACUUUUUCGUGGGGGAUAACGUAGGGAAACUUACGCUAAUACCGCAUACGACCUACGGGUGAAAGCAGGGGAUCUUCGGACCUUGCGCGAUUGAAUGAGCCGAUGUCGGAUUAGCUAGUUGGCGGGGUAAAGGCCCACCAAGGCGACGAUCCGUAGCUGGUCUGAGAGGAUGAACAGCCACAUGGGAACUGGGACAGGGUCCAGACUCCUACGGGAGGCAGCAGUGGGGAAUAUUGGACAAUGGGCGCAAGCCUGAUCCAGCCAUACCGCGUGGGUGAAGGAGGCCUUCGGGUUGUAAAGCCCUUUUGUUGGGAAAGAAAAGCAGCAGGUUAAUACCCCGCUGUUCUGACGGUACCCAAAGAAUAAGCACCGGCUAACUUCGUG
rnacentral:rRNA from 1 species